rnacentral:rRNA from 1 species
UACAGAGACUGCAAGCGUUAUUCGGAUUCACUGGGCGUAAAGGGUGCGCAGGCGGCCAAGUGUGUGAGGCGUGAAAGCCUGGAGCUUAACUCCAGAAUUGCACCUCAAACUACUUGGCUAGAGCAUUGGAGAGGGUAGCAGAAUUCAUGGUGUAGCAGUGAAAUGCGUAGAUAUCAUGAGGAAUACCAGAGGCGAAGGCGGCUUCCUGGACCGACACUGACGCUGAGGCGCGAAAGCUAGGGGAGCAAACGGG